AGUCACCGUCUCCUCGUCCUCGUCCGCCGCUAGAUACUUAUCAUGGACGUUACGCAUCCUUACGGCUUUAGCUUGAUUGAAAAAAUCCAUUUGCUGAUGAUACUAGUAUGUUUUUGUUACUAUUUCCUUCUUGUCGAAGCCUUAAAAAGUUUUUUUUCUUCCCCAAGACAGAUUAAUGUGAAAUGUGAUGUUUGGUGUUGUAUUUAUUAUAGGAAGACCAAGUCCAAAGUGGUGCGCUGUGGGGUGGACCUUUUACAAUCGUUUAUUUUGAAUUCAUCCAAGUAUAUUAUUAUUUGGAUACUAUAUAUAUAGCC
rnacentral:lncRNA from 1 species